UGUCCGCGACUUAUCCGAUGUCACUCCAGGCUUCUGAGUGGAAACACAGAUGUCUGGUAGUCUUGAAGAGAACCCCACCAGACCAGGGUAGAAAUACAGCAGUCGAAAGGUUCCGCCUCGGAUCGUGUUGGGAAUGCAAGGAGGAGGACAACUGGUGCGGGCCCAG
rnacentral:SRP_RNA from 1 species